CUAGAUCAUCUCCAGAGGUCUCUUCCAACCUAAACGGUUCUGUGAUUCUGUGAAAAUUCAGUGAGAAUUUUUCCUUGGGCACUGUGUAUCUCUCACCUGCUUUAAUGCUCCUCACUACCACCGAGAAGUCAAAACAGCAGCUGUGCUUGUUCCUGUCUCUCAAGGACUAACAGUGUUAUUUCACUGCUCAGCUUACAAGAACUGAGCAAACAGUCUUCUUUCACGUCCCUGAGCUUUUUCAUAUGCAUUCAUUUUUUCAUUAGUAAAACACUUGAGUAAUGUGUCAGCACUUUAAUUAACGGCUGCGUUAGUGAAUGCUCUUGCUGUACAUGUACCAGCAUUCUCUGACACUAUCAUUUCCUUUGGAAGUGUAUUACACCCUUCACUAUAGUAAGAUAUUUUUCAUCUCUUGUCACAGUUUACUUUGACACUUUCAAGCUCAUCUGUUUUUAUGGAAAGGCUCUGCUUGACCCAGUGAAUAGAUUUGUCACUUGGAGUGGAUCCUGACUUUUGCGAAUGCUAUCAAAAAAUCAACAUUAAGUAAUUUUAACUGCCUCUUAUAAUGCACGCUUUUAUCUAGGUCUGUUUAGAUAUUUAAUGCUAACUAUAUAUUUGGUUAGUACUAUUAGACAGUCAUUUAGGAUUACUGCUUAACAGAAGUGGAAAGAAACGUACAGAAAGCCCAGACAGAUCUGUUUUUAGUCAGAACAAGGCACAAUAAACAUUAAAAGCAUAAGCAGCCUCACAUGACUGCAUGUAAAAAUGGUAUGUUAGCAUGAAGUGUGAGGAGAGUUAGGAGGGACUGGUAAUCUUUGACUCAAGCAGUCACUUUUUUUUUUAAUUUUUCUUUACAGACAUUCAGUGUGAAACAUGACUGUGAAUGUGAUGCUGGAGUUAUUAGCCUGGCAAAAUGAAGAAUAAAGAUCUUAAUUUCUGCUCCAACAUGCCAUUGUAAUAUUCAAGCCAACAAACAUAUGACAAAAGAUUUAGGAAUUGUAUAAUAUGCAAAAAACAAAACAAAGCUGCUAUCCAGUUGGAGAUACAGGAAGGAGAUGCAAAUUAUUAAUUUCAUAUGCUUAAUUAUUGCAAAACAGUUAUUCAAACAGUUUUGACAGAAGAAAACAUGCAAUUAUGCUUUGUUGGCUCUUGCACAUUAUCUUGUUUGUUAAUAAAUAACAUUCCCAUAAAAAUGCAAAUGUAAAAGAUAUUUAUUGAGAAAUAAAAAUGCAUUUCCUAACCAUAUAUUGAAUCCAGAAAGCUAAUUUGAAAACGUUAAUUGUUGUAUGAUUAUCUGUCAGUCCUGACAGAAACUCUAUGUUAGAAAAGGCUGGCAUUUUAGCUUGUUUAAAGUUGUUCCAGUGUUAGCAGGUAAGCUUUUUGGCGUGCUGUAACGGUAAUGAAAGUUGCUGUUUAGCUCCUAGAUAGUUCUGCUUCUGGAGCAGAAGGAGUAUGUCUAUUUUAGCCUAAAAAAGUCAGCCUUGCAUUUUUCACUUCCUAUUUCUGCCAGCCUCUGGGGAGGGCAGCCAACCUCCCCUGUGCUAAUACUGAACGUUUUAGAAAAGGAAAGUCAAUAUUUCUCCCUUUCUGUUUCUGCACAAGGAACGGUAACGGCGCUGAGGACAUCCCCCAAGGUAAGUUCAACUUAGCAAGGUAAGGUCUUCAACUACAGACUGUUGGUCGGGGUGUUAUAUUUAGUGAAUGAUAGAUAUCAGUGCCCAAAGCAUUUGAGCAUUUUGGAGAAGGCAAGUCCCUCCUAAAUUGAGUAGCUAAAAUGCCUCCCACACCCUAAGGGACUGUGCUAUGAUGGAAAAGUGUUUCAGGACACCUACUCUGUGUAGGUGUUUGAGGCGACCAGGGCUCUUCCCUGGGCCUGCUGAUGAUCUGUCAGCUCUAGCUGAACAAUGUGUGAGUUUUAUAGUGAAAAAACAUGCUUGCAAAGCAAACCUUUUAACUGGAGAAGGUCAUCUUCUAGGAGCCAGGCCUUAACAGCAGACACUUUAACCUUUAAAAGGAGAAGAGGUGUCUCUCUUUCUCACCGGUCAUGCACUGAUUCAUAAACAGUUUAUUUUAGAGUGUCAUUUUGCAAAAUUUGCUCACUAAAAACUGUGAUGUACAGUAUCUAUUCUGUACCAGCAGGUCUGAGGAAAAAAAAAAAAACCGCAUUCUGAUAUUGCAAGCACUGAAAAGUUACAUUUGUUGUUCAGUCUUAAAACUAGUUAAGAAAACUAGAGUUCAUAGUGUCACCAAAAUAAAUCAGUAACAAAUUGCCUAACUCAAAAGAAGUGCUUUUGCUUUUGAGAUUGAUGUGAAAAUGUAAACAGCAGCAUCACCGAACAAAAUGUUUUAAACCACGUUUUCUGGGGAAAUAAGUGUAUGUGGGAAGAUUUGAAGAAGAGAUAUAAUCCAAUAUACAAUGCAACCUUUUGGGGGAUUAAGGUUUUUUUUCUUUUCUUUUUUUUUUAAGUUUUGUCUAAUCCAAAAUACUUUGAGCCUUAUAUUUGCAAAGAUUAGGACAGCAUUAUAAACUUGAAUAACUUAUUUUUCCAGGAAUAGCUAUUCUCUAGCUUUUGACAGCAUACAUAAGCAUACAAAAAUUUAACAGAUAUCCUUAACAUUAAUCACAACAUCUUCAAUCUGCACAUCUGGUAUUGGUUAUAUGCAGAAAAAUUCUGUACCCUCCGUACUACAUCUGUGGAAAAUCUGAUUCAAGAGAAAACAUAAUCACUUGCCAGCUCGGAAAAAGGCUCCUUCUACCCUGGGUCCCUGUCUACUUGCUGCAAAUAGUCCAAGCAAUCCAAGGAUUCAUGGUGGAGUCCAGUCUUUUACCAGCAGGACAUGUAGGAAGCAGAAGGUCUCCAGUUACACAGAGAUUUGGAUUCAACAAAACCCAUGCCAUGAUGCUAAAGAUACAAGCCCUGAACUGCAACAUGUAUGCACAAACAUGGCCCAGAGUUAAUGCUGCUUGUGCACUGGAAGCACUGAGGAGAAAAUUCUUUUAAUUAAGUUUUUAGCAUGUGUUGUUGUAGCUCUAAACUUCCCUAAUUGAGUAAUUUUCUCUAGUCAUUUCUAGCUGGAUGAAAAUUCAUCCCUGAUCUCAUAACUGAAAAGCAGAAGAGGAAGGGUAGCUACGUAUGUUUUUAUUGCAUUACAAAACUUAUCAAGAACAGCUAGAGAAUGGCCAAGAUGUCAUUUAAAAUUAACAUUUUAUGUGGUUAAUCCAAUAUAUGGAAUUGCAAAAUCUAAGCAAAACAAUGUCUGUGUAAAUAAAGCAGCUCAGCAAUUUACGAAGCACUUGAAAGCUUUUGGUGCUUUAACAUGUUGAAAGCAGGUCAAAACUUAUUAGCCUUUUUUUUUUUUUUUGUAAUCAUCCUUUCUCUCUUAAAUACACCAUCUGUCCCUUGGAUAGGCAGAUGGCCUGUUACUUUAGACACAAGUUAAAGCUCUAUCAUUAGGAUGUGUAAGUCCCCUAAAUGAGACACUUCUUCCUUUCUCAGCAUCAUAUAGAUGGCUUGAUUAAAAGAUUCCAGCAAUUUGCUAAAGAAAAUCGGCAAAAUACACUGAGUAGCUAAAGCACAACAUUAUAUUUACACCUAACCACUGACCAUUAUAAUGAAAUAUCACAUGAGACUUUUAAGAAGUUACUUGUGUAAUUUAUACAUCACAUCUGUGAUAAAAUCCUUUAUAGAAAUUGUAGUUAGUAUGUGGUUUUAGAAGCGUCCUAUUUUUCUUGAAUUGGUUUGGACACCCUCUUAGAUGCCCUCAUAUAAAGUAUUUUGCCUCAGUAACAUGAUUUGUUAGGUGAAAAAAAAAGGAAGCAGCCAUUCUCUGAAAAAAAAAGAAAAAAAAAAAAAA